rnacentral:rRNA from 1 species
UACGUAGGGGGCAAGCGUUGUCCGGAAUCAUUGGGCGUAAAGAGCGUGUAGGUGGCCCGGUCAGUCCGCCGUGAAAGUCCAGGGCUCAACCCUGGAAUGCCGGUGGAUACUGCCGGGCUGGAGUCCGGAAGAGGCGAGUGGAAUUCCUGGUGUAGCGGUGGAAUGCGCAGAUAUCAGGAGGAACACCAAUAGCGAAGGCAGCUCGCUGGGACGGUACUGACGCUAAGGCGCGAAAGCGUGGGGAGCGAACAGG